rnacentral:rRNA from 1 species
AGAGUUUGAUCCUGGCUCAGGACGAACGCUGGCGGCAUGCCUAACACAUGCAAGUCGAACGAGACCUUCGGGUCUAGUGGCGCACGGGUGCGUAACGCGUGGGAAUCUGCCCUCUGGUACGGAAUAACUCAGGGAAACUUGAGCUAAUACCGUAUAAUGACUUCGGUCCAAAGAUUUAUCGCCUGAGGAUGAGCCCGCGUAGGAUUAGCUUGUUGGUGAGGUAAAAGCUCACCAAGGCGACGAUCCUUAGCUGGUCUGAGAGGAUGAUCAGCCACACUGGGACUGAGACACGGCCCAGACUCCUACGGGAGGCAGCAGUGGGGAAUAUUGGACAAUGGGCGAAAGCCUGAUCCAGCAAUGCCGCGUGAGUGAUGAAGGCCUUAGGGUUGUAAAGCUCUUUUACCCGGGAAGAUAAUGACUGACCGGAGAAUAAGCCCC